rnacentral:rRNA from 1 species
AACGAACGCUGGCGGCAGGCUUAACACAUGCAAGUCGAACGAGAAAUAAGAGCUUGCUCUUAUGGACAGUGGCAGACGGGUGAGUAACGCGUGGCAACCUACCUUUUUCUACGGAACAACAGUUAGAAAUGACUGCUAAUACCGUAUACGCCCUCCGGGGGAAAGAUUUAUCGGUGAAAGACGGGGCCGCGUUAGAUUAGCUAGUUGGUGAGGUAAAAGCUCACCAAGGCGACGAUCUAUAGCUGGUCUGAGAGGAUGACCAGCCACACUGGGACUGAGACACGGCCCAGACUCCUACGGGAGGCAGCAGUGGGGAAUAUUGGACAAUGGGCGAAAGCCUGAUCCAGCCAUGCCGCGUGAAUGAUGAAGGCCUUAGGGUUGUAAAAUUCUUUCGCUAGGGAUGAUAAUGACAGUACCUAGUAAAGAAGCCCCGGCUAACUCCG